rnacentral:lncRNA from 13 species
UCCUGCCGAAGUCGGUAUUUCCACUCUGGAACGCAAGUAGCGGAUAUCUCUUCAUUCAAGCGAGCCGGGCAAGUUCACGGUCGCUAUUUUCGGCAGAGAGCGCAGAACGGGAUCGAAACGAAGGCAAAAGAGAGUAGAGGAGCCGAGAGGAGUCAGCCAGCGAAGUAGAGGGACGUCCGAUACAUCCUUAAUAUCGAGAGUACGCGUAAAGUACCGCGCGAUUGCAAACAAUCGUUUUUUUUCCGCGAGUGUCGGGUAAACGUCGGUAAAGGAGCUGAGAAGAAGACGAGGCCUAGGUGGCAUCGAAUAAUGAUGGAGCAAUCAUUAGAUCCGGAUUCGAAACAUGGCUGGUUUUGGGUAGACGGAGUAUCGG